CCUACGGGAUGCAGCAGUGAGGAAUAUUGGUCAAUGACCGAGAGGCUGAACCAGCCAAGUCGCGUGAGGGAAGACGGCCCUACGGGUUGUACACUUCUUUUGUCAGGGAGCAAUUGGGUCCACGCGUGGGCUUAGCGAGAGUACCUGAAGAAAAAGCAUCGGCUAACUCCGUGCCAGCAGCCGCGGUAAUACGGAGGAUGCGAGCGUUAUCCGGAUUUAUUGGGUUUAAAGGGUGCGUAGGCGGAAUAUCAAGUCAGCGGUAAAAAUUCGGGGCUCAACCCCGUCGUGCCGUUGAAACUGAUGUUCUUGAGUGGGCGAGAAGUAUGCGGAAUGCGCGGUGUAGCGGUGAAAUGCAUAGAUAUCGCGCAGAACUCCGAUUGCGAAGGCAGCAUGCCGGCUCCACACUGACGCUGAGGCACGAAAGCGUGGGUAUCGAACAGGAUUAGAUACCCCUGUAGUC
rnacentral:rRNA from 1 species